AUUGAACGCUGGCGGCAUGCUUUACACAUGCAAGUCGAACGGUAACAGGGUGCUUGCACCGCUGACGAGUGGCGAACGGGUGAGUAAUGCGUCGGAACGUGCCGAGUAGUGGGGGAUAACGCAGCGAAAGUUGUGCUAAUACCGCAUACGUACUGAGGUAGAAAGUGGGGGACCUUCGGGCCUCACGCUAUUCGAGCGGCCGACGUCUGAUUAGCUAGUAGGUGAGGUAAAGGCUCACCUAGGCGACGAUCAGUAGCGGGUCUGAGAGGAUGAUCAGCCACACGGGGACUGAGACACGGCCCAGACUCCUACGGGAGGCAGCAGUGGGGAAUUUUGGACAAUGGGCGAAAGCCUGAUCCAGCCAUGCCGCGUGUGUGAAGAAGGCCUUCGGGUUGUAAAGGACUUUUGUCAGGGAGGAAAGCCCUUGUGCUAAUAACACUGGGGGAUGACAGUACCUGAAGAAUAAGCACCGGCUAACUACGUGCCAGCCGCCGCGGUAA
rnacentral:rRNA from 1 species